rfam:Triticum aestivum genome assembly, contig: Triticum_aestivum_CS42_TGACv1_scaffold_145925_2BS
GAACUACUCCCUCCGUUCAGAAUUACUUGUCGUUAAAAUAGAUGUAUAUUAAACUAAAAUACAUCCAGAUACGUCCAUUUCAAUGACAAGUAUUUUCGGACGGAGGAAGUACUAU